rnacentral:rRNA from 1 species
UACGUAGGUGGCAAGCGUUAUCCGGAUUUAUUGGACGUAAAGAGAACGCAGGCGGUCUUUUAAGUCUGAUGUGAAAGCCUUCGGCUUAACCGGAGUAGUGCAUUGGAAACUGGGAGACUUGAGUGCAGAAGAGGAGAGUGGAACUCCAUGUGUAGCGGUGAAAUGCGUAGAUAUAUGGAAGAACACCAGUGGCGAAAGCGGCUCUCUGGUCUGUAACUGACGCUGAGGUUCGAAAGCGUGGGUAGCAAACAGG